rfam:Pedobacter ginsenosidimutans strain KACC 14530 contig05, whole genome shotgun sequence.
AAUUAAACGGGAUUGCAGCGGUAUCCUCUUGUUUCCUUCAAAACAAGAGAUUUAGCGAAAAGCCCGACUAACG